UAUGUGAAUUAUAGCAGAUUCCUUGAGCAGAACUGAGAUUUACAGUGCUCCUUCUGGUGGCCAUGUUUCAGAUUCAUGGGUUCUGAGUACAUAGACCACAGCUAGGUCUGAUGGUGCUGGAACAGGAAUGCUUUUCUUGUGUAGCUCAGGGACUCUGAUAUUGUUUCUCACUCCUGCCAAGUUAGCAUUCAGAGAGUGGAACACUGUGCACAGUGGUUCAAAGGCAACGCAGAAGGAACAUCAGCGUGACUGGAUCUUACCAUGGUAUGAGAUGUGUGGAGAAAAGGGUUUCAGUGGGAAGUUGGACUGAGCUUCAGCACCUGAAAACUGAAUGUCUGUAGAGUUGCACACUGAGUGACUCAGUGGGAGGCAGAGGAUUGCUGUGACUGCUGACCUAGGCAGAGGUCCUGUCUAAAGGGAUAUCGAGUAAGAAGACAGCGAUUGAAGAAGGAAAACCAUCAUGCCAUGGACUCUGUGACAGCAGAAGCAAAUCUGAAAUGAAGCUAGGGGUAUUUUCCAGGCAGUGGAAAGGGCUGGAGAAGCUUCAUGAGUCAUGAGGCUAGUCAUUGGAACUCGAAAACUUCCCAGCUAGUUAAAUGGACACUUGCUGGCCACUCGUCACGUUCCAAAUUUCUCAACUCCUCCUUCAAAAUCCAUUUCCAAAGUGAGAUUCAUCACUACAACUUUUGAUUUGUGACAUCAAUCUUAUUCCCCAGAAGGUUAAAUUGUGACAUAACUCCAGAAAGAUCCACACAACAUGAAUGAGAAAGGUAUGAAAACAAAAUAAAACAAAUCUUCAUUUCAAGCAAGACUGUGCUGGUUAGAUCUUGUCAGCUUGACACAAAUUGGAGACCCCUGGAAAGAAGGAACCUCAAUAAACUAGGUAAAAAGAAUGUGGCAGAAAUAAAACUAGAAGUGUGGUUAAAGUUUGGAGUUAAACUAUCUCCCAAAGGCCAUGUGCUAAAUGCUUGAUUUUCCUAAUCAUGACAGUACUGGGAGGUGGUAGGGACUGGAGGAAGCUCACGAGUUGGAGGAAGAUAUGUCAUUGAGGAAGUAACUUUGAAGGGGAUGGUGGAUCCUGGCCUCUCCCUGUCCUGCUUUGUUUCCUGUUUGCCAUGAGGUGGGUAUCUUGCUCCACCAGGUGCUUCCUGCCAUGAUGUGCUGCUUUGCCACAAACUCAAAGACCAAGGGGCCAGAUCACCAUGGGACGAAAUCUCUGAAAUCAAGAGACAAAAGAAAAUUUUCCUCUUUAUUUAUUUUUUUCAUGUGGAUUUGUGUUUGUGUAUGGAUGUGCACAUGGGAAAGCCAGAUGACAGCUUGGAUUUUACCCUGAGGCACUGGCUGCCUUACAUUUUUGAGGCUAUAAGUCUUCUACUGGCCUGGGAUUCACCAAAUAGACUGACCAUCUUCCCUGGGGAUCCACCUGUCAGCCUCCCUACCACUUGAGAUUACAGGUCCACCACCAUGCUUUGUUGCUACUGCUUUAUGUUUAUGGAUAUUUUGCCUGCAUGGAUGUCUGUGCAUCACAUUCACGCAUGGUGCCCAUGAAAGCCAGAAGAGGGUGGUUCCACAGUUAAGAGCACUCACUGCCACUGGCAGAGAAUCU